rnacentral:rRNA from 1 species
CAGUCGUACCUUCGGGUAAUCAGCCUUUUCGGGUGCGAUUCUGUGGGGUUUGAUGAGCUUAACACCUUCAUGCUCUGCAUAUUCGUGCUCUUGGGUGUACUUGCCCGUGUGGUUGGUUAACAUCAAUUUUGGUGGUCAUAAAAUGACUGGAGGAAUGUAGCUUCGAUCUUGUAUUGAAGUGUUAUAGCCUUCGGUAGAUGUGAUGAUCGAGAUUGAGGAUUGCAACGGAUACCCUUCGGGGCUACCUGUCUGAUCUCUGAUCGUUGCUCUGGUGCCGAAAGCGUGCUUACGGUUAUUUAAGUUGACGGUCAAAAGGUUAGAACGUGAUUAUA